CCGAAGUACUUGCACAUUUUAUUUUAUCUCUAAAUAGUAAUUGUUAGCUUUGAUUUUCAAAUCCGUUUACUAAACCAUAACAAUAAAACAAAAUACACUAAAUCAUAUAUAAAUUAGCAAUUAAAUAAAUAAAUCUUAGACGAUUUCACGUUCAGAAGCACGGACAUCGUGAGCAUUUUCCUGAUGGAGCCGAGAGACUCUCAAAUCACCAUUUAGCGUAUCCGGCUGUAAGCAUUGGGCUCGGCCGAGAUUAUUACCCUAAUUUGACUCAGAUCUCCGAAUUUUAUUUUUGUUAUACUGGAGGUAGAACAAAGUACGUUGGCUCGAUCCUUCCUUUAUCUGGGCUUUUGACCAGCUUGCUAUAUAAAUAACAUGGCGGAGUUAAAAAUUAACCUACACCUCUCUCUACAUCUUCAAGAAAGAAAGUUGCACCCUGCCAACCAUGUGUCAUCAAUAGCCCGCAAUGCACCUACAAUCAAUAGAGUAUCUUUACGAGCCGUAUUAAAUGUGGAAUGAUAGCUACUACCAUACGUUCCCAAUCCCAUUAAUAUAUUUAGAAAAUCCUGUCUCCGGCAGUGCAGUAAGGAAAAUAUUAACAAAAUCAUUUUUUUGGUAAUAAAUUCCAACAAUGGUGAGAUUAUGAUGAUUUCCCAAAAAUUUCUAGAAAAUUUAGUCAACA
rnacentral:lncRNA from 1 species